rnacentral:rRNA from 1 species
GACGAACGCUGGCGGCGUGCUUAACACAUGCAAGUCGAACGAUGAAGAAAAGAAUCGAAGCUUCGGCAGAAAUUCAUUUCGGAUUAGUGGCAGACGGGUGAGUAACGCGUGAGCAACCUACCUCUUACAAAGGGAUAGCCUCGGGAAACCGGGAUUAAUACCAUAUAACAUUGCGACGAAGCAUUUCGAUGCAAUCAAAGCUACGGCGGUAAGAGAUGGGCUCGCGUCCCAUUAACCGGAUGGUGAGGUAACGGCUCACCAUAGUGACGAUGGGUAACCGGCCUGAGAGGGUGAACGGUCACACUGGAACUGAGACACGGUCCAGACUCCUACGGGAGGCAGCAGUGGGGAAUAUUGCACAAUGGAGGGAACUCUGAUGCAGCGACGCCGCGUGAGUGAUGAAGGAAUGCGUUUCGUAAAACUCUGUUCUAUGGGAAGAAAAGGACUGUACCAUAGGAGAAAGCUCCGGCUAAAUACG